AUGCACCUGUUUGAGGCCUUCCACAACAACUCUUUGGAUGUGGCCCGUCUCAACUAUGGUAUCAUUACUUUAAUCCCUAAGAUAAGUGGAGCCAAGAAAAUUCAGCAAUAUAGGCCUAUCUGCCUUCUCCGCUGCCCAUACAAACUUAUCACAAAAGUUUGGGAUAACAGAGUGGCUAUAUUUGCUGACAAGCUUAUUAGUAAGCAUCAGAAUGCCUUUAUUAAACACAUGAAUAUUAUGGAUGGCAUACUGACUUUGCACGAAGUUCUUCAUCACACGCACCAAAAAAAAGGGUCGGUGUGGUGCUGA
rnacentral:rRNA from 1 species